UCUAUUAUUUACUCCAAUAUAAAAAAUAAAAAAUAAAAAACUUUAAAAAUAGUAAUACUUGAUUUUUAUGUUUUCAAAUAACACAAGUUAUUUGCAACCAAUUAAGCAGAACAAACACAACUCAAUUAGACUAGUGAAAAACUAUAAGAUGGUUUAAAAACUCAAUAGUAUUGCAAAUAUUCUAUUAUCAUUCUGUUAUAUAUAUGAAUUGUCAACUCAACACUCCCAUGAUAAAUAGAAUAACUCCCAUA
rnacentral:lncRNA from 1 species